CAGCAGCCACGGUAAUACGUAGGGUGCAAGCGUUGUCCGGAAUUAUUGGGCGUAAAGAGCUCGUAGGCGGUUUGUCGCGUCUGCUGUGAAAACUGGAGGCUCAACCUCCAGCCUGCAGUGGGUACGGGCAGACUAGAGUGCGGUAGGGGAGAUUGGAAUUCCUGGUGUAGCGGUGGAAUGCGCAGAUAUCAGGAGGAACACCGAUGGCGAAGGCAGAUCUCUGGGCCGUAACUGACGCUGAGGAGCGAAAGCGUGGGGAGCGAACAGGAUUAGAUACCCCAGUAGUCCCUGUCUCUUAUAC
rnacentral:rRNA from 1 species